rnacentral:rRNA from 1 species
GUACGGGGGGUGCAAACGUUGCUCGGAAUUAUUGGGCGUAAAGCGCACGUAGGCGGUCCUGUAAGUCGGGUGUGAAAGCCCCAGGCUUAACCUGGGAAGUGCACUCGAAACUGUAGGGCUUGAGUAUGGAAGAGGGUCUCGGAAUUCCCGGUGUAGAGGUGAAAUUCGUAGAUAUCGGGAGGAACACCAGUGGCGAAGGCGGAGACCUGGGCCAAUACUGACGCUGAGGUGCGAAAGCGUGGGGAGCAAAC